UAAUAUAGCAAUAUUAUCUAUGGUACCUCUACCUUUGCGGAAUCCAAACUGUGUAUUCGAAAGGAGGUUAUGUUUUUCUACAAACCAUUCUAGUCUGUUUUUAGCUAAAUGUUCCGCAAUCUUUAAUAAAACAGAGGAUAGAACAAUGGGGCGAUAUGAUGUAGCCAAAGAAGGGGGUUUGUUGGGUUUUGGUACUGGAAUAACUUUUUGUUUUCUCCAUGAAGUGGGUAAAUUACCAGUUAUUAAAAUUUGGUUUAUUAACUUGAGGUAGUAUUGUAAAAUUUCCUCAUCAGCAUGUUGAAAGAAAGAAUAUGGAAUGCCAUCUAAUCCGGGAGAAGAAUCUUUUAAGUUUUGUACUACCCCUUUUAACUCUUCUAUUGUAAAAAGCGAAUUUAGGUCUUCAAAAUUUACAUUUUGUAAAGGAGGAGGAGGUUCAAUAGAAAUAGUGGGAGGAGCUAAAUUAUCCAGAAACUCAGAAGCUAAAGAGUCAGAUAUAGGAUGAGAUGGGGUAGUGAAUGCAGAUCUAUACCGUCUUAUGUUUUUCCAUACUAUAGUAGGAUGAAUACCUGGAUUUAAUGAUAAGCAAAAAUUUCUCCAACUAAGUAACUUCUUUUUCCUGAAUAAUUUCUUAGUAUCCUUAACACAAUCAAGAUAUAGCUGAUAGUUGGCUAUGUUUGGAUUUGUAUUAUAUUGUUUUUCAAUCUCUUUCCUAUUCUUAAUGGCAACUGUGCAUUCUUGAUCCCACCAAGGUGGAGAUGGUGUAUGAUGACGUGAAGUAUUUUUUUUUGGAAAUGAUUCAUCAGCAGCUUUUAUAAAUGCUGCAGUCAAAGCCUCAGCACAUAGUGACUCAUUUUCUGAUGAUAUUUCAGGAAGAAAAGAUAACUGAUUCCUGAGUGAAGUUUGAAAUUUAUCCCAGUUAGAAUUAUUGUUAAUAUGAUACUUUAUUGAUUCAGACUGAUUCGAUUUACUUUUAUCUUUACCUGGAAAUGAUAGAAUUAUAGGAAAGUGAUCACUUCCAUGACUUGACUGUAACACAUUCCAAUGAAAAACAGAUGAUAGAUUUGGUGAACAUAUUGACAAAUCUGGUGCACUACAACCUUCAUGAGGAGCAGUGCGCCGAGUAGGUUGGCCGGAAUUGAGAAUACACAGUUUAUUAUAAUCUAUUAAAUCUAAAACUUCGUAACCCCAUUGAUUGUCUUUGUGACUCCCCCAUGACUGAUGCUGUGCAUUGAAGUCUCCUAGAAUGACUACUGGUUGUGAUGCAGCAAUGAUUGAAAAAUCAGAGUGAUGUGAUGGAAGAGGAAUGUGAUGAAAUGAUUGAUGGUGUUUGAUGAGCAUGGCUGUACCACCAUACCCAUCUGAUCUGUCUUCCCUGAGACAAGUGUAGCCAGAAAUCCUGAAAAGUGAUUCCGGCUUGAGCCAUGUCUCUUGUAAGGAAAGAACAAUAGGUGAUGAUGAUGAAGAAGUAGAUGAUAUUAACACGUCAGAAUAUAAUUUUGAAAUGGGAGGAUGUAACUUAGAAGCUUCUGAGUAGGAUAGACAAUUGUGAGCCAUUGACUCCUUAAUUGAUUUUUGGCGUUGGAAUUCUGGGCAUUUUUUAUCAGUUGCAAUGUGCGAACCGUGGCAAAUACAACAGUAAAUAGACUCCUCUUCAACUGAGCAACUAUCACCAGCAUGCCCUUGGCCACACCUAAAGCAUCUAGGUGUUGACCGACAUUGGUUUUUGACAUGUCCGUAUCUACAGCAAUUGAAGCACUGUAUUGUAGGGAAAAUAUAUAAAUCUACAUGAAGUGCAUUAUAGCACAUGAAGACUCUCUUUGGUAGCGUCUGUCCGUCAAAUGUUAUUACCACAGAUUCGGUGUUAUUAAAUUGAGCGGUUCCAUUCA